rnacentral:lncRNA from 1 species
CAGUCAUCUCCCCUAAGUCUAAUUAGAAACCCUAGCCGCCCCCAAAUUCUCAAACCCCACUGGUCGGCGGCGGCGUCCCAAACACCCUAUCGUCUAACCAGACAACCACCAUAACCUCCUCAUCAUAUAUCUAUCACCGAUUUCUCCAAAAUCUUUACCUAUUUGUUCCAAGUUCAUAUCUAAGACUCUGAAAGAAUAUCAAAACCCUAAAUUAUCCUUUUCCGUUCAAUUUUGAAGGUUUCACAAGUUCGAUUUGAGCCUAAGUUUAUGAUAGUCGAUUGUUCUUGAUAAGAACAAUCCAUUAGCAUUACUUUUGGUUUAUUUCAAGAUCGCCGAAUUCCGACCAAAUCAGCACUGACUGGCCAAGCUACGUCAAAUAUCAUCGUUCGUUGAUUUGCCUUGUUUGUUCAAGCAUUUCCGGCUAAAUUAGUAUAUGUUCCUUUUCUCUUUUACUUUUUGUUGUUGUUUCUUUUUCUGUUUUCUUUUCUUCUUCUUUAUGUUCUUUUAUCACUAGUUAGUUUUAGUUUAAUUUAAAAAUAGUUUACUUAAGUUAAUUGCAUGAUUUGGAUUUAAUACUUUGGUUUGAUUUUUUUUCUUUCCUGGCCGGAUUCAAUUAAUGUGUUCAAUAGCAUAAAUUAUCAAGGCAAUUUGUUAAUGUGUUUAGUUGUUUAAUAUUUAUUGCUGUCAAUGUGUUUUUUCCGGAAUUGAAACUUAAGGGGCGUCUAAAGGAACAUGAAAACUUAGGGUAUUUAGAAUCGGAAAUUAAGUUUGCUAUUGGUAUUAAGCAGAACUUAAAAGGAAGCUGACAAUUGAAGAACUUCAGAUAAAAUAUCAGAAGCUUCUAGAAGGGACUAAAGGUUUUCUUUAAAAUCAGAAUUUAGGUUAAAAUAGGGACCAAAAGAGAAAAUUUUCAGAAGUAAAAGGAUUAAAAAGUUGAAUAAAUAUCUUGAUAGGACAGUUACACCAAGACGGUCAAAAUAUGUUGUACUAUCUAACCUUUCAGGAAUUUAGGUCAAAAUAUUCCCUUGUAAUACCGUUUUUGUACACUUUAUAAAAGGAAACAACAUUCACUCACUGAUACACACAUUUUUCACUGUCAUUUUUUGCACAAAGAUUCUGAAAAACACAUCAAAUUUUCAUAAACCUAAAGAGUACAAAAAAAUUUAGCUUCUGUUUAUUAAAAGCUGACUGAUAUUCUUGCUGAUUUCGACAAAAGUUAGAACAAAUUUUCCUCCGAAAUUUUUGGGUUCUUAAGUUGGAAGAUGGCUUGAGUUAGAAUGUUGUGAUAUUUUUGGUUUUGGCUGCUUAGUUUCAUUGGUUUUUUGCUUCUGUCUUUGCUGCUUUUUCUCCUUGAAGAUUCACAACCUUAUUUUUAUUCUUUGUAAUCAGUAUAUCUUGAGCUUUGAACCAUGAAUAAAAGUUUGUUUUGAAGAGUGUCUUACUGCCAUGAAGCCUUUGAGUUCAUAUUUACACAAUUUUUUUGUUUUCGAUAUUUUACCUUUAAAUCAUUUGAAUACUGCUCUUUUGGCUUUUCUUAUUAGAUGAUGUGUAGUUACAUUAAAGUAUAGUUAGGAUUUAUGAGAUAACUAGGAUAUUCAGUGUUUAUAGGUAUGAACAAUACCACUUGCAUAUGAUGAGUUUAGGCUGAGUAGUCUAAGUUUUAAAAAAAAAAGUGUUUACUUUCAGUCUUUUGCUAUCUCCAUGUGAUUCUGUCCAAUAUUGUUUACUGAUUAUUAAUAGGUGAACUUUCCAUAAGUGUUGGGUAUGGUCAAAACUAGGCUAUGACUGAUGUUUAAGUAUUUUUGGAUAAAGUGUUUUAGCAUUACUACAAAAGUGUAAAAUGAUUAUAUGCUCUUGCUGCUUCAUGUUGAAACAAAGUUAUAGGUGGCACAAUUUAGAACUAGUAACAUACAAAUAAGGUGUUCAAAUUCUACAGUAAAGUUCAUGUAAAUAACUAUCUUCUAUUUCGAGUAAAGUAUCUUUAUUCUUUGAUAAUAUUGUGACGACCCGACCGGUCGUCUUAAGAGUUAACACCUGAUCCCCUGCGAACUGUUUUUCCUAAGUCUAUUUCUGCUAAUUUGAUUUUUUGGGAUGUUCGGUUUUGAGUUUCGGAGAGUUUUGGAUAACUUAGUCCCUAAAUGAGAGCUUAAGUGUUGGAAAAUUGUCCAUAGUCAGAACAAUGUGAAAAAGGUCUCGGAAUGAAAAUUUGAUGGUUCCAUUAGAUCUGUUAGGUGAUUUCGGGGUUGGGAGGGUGUUCGGAAUGUAUUUUGGAGGUCCGUAGCUAAUUAAGGCUUGAAAUGCCGAAGUUUGAAUUUUUAAGUUUCCGGCCCGAAAGUGAUAUUUUGAUCCGAGGGUCAGAAUGGAAUUUCGGAAGUUGCAGUAGUUCUGUUUAUACCAUUUGGUAUGUGUGUGUAAAAUUUAAGGUCAUUCGGACGAGGUUUGAUAGACUUUUGAUCGAAAACGUAUUUUUAGUGUUUUUGAAGUUCUUAAGAAUGAAUUCAGUAAAAAAAUAUACGUUUUGAUGUUAUUUUGAGCAUUCUGAAGGUGGGAACAAGUUUGAAUGAUGUUAUGGGAUAUGGCUGUAGGUUUGGUUGAGGUCCCGGGGGCCUCAGAUGUGUUUCAAAUACUCAAUGGGUCAUUUUUGGAACUUGUAAAAUUGCAUAAAUAUGGUAUCUGGUAUCCUUAUAUGCGAUCGCAAUAUUGGGGUUGUGAUAGCAUAAGUUUGUUAGUGAGGAGGCAGAAAUCGUUCUAUGUGAUCGCAGGGAGCGGUCUGCAAUUGCGAAGUGUGAGAGACCAAAGUAGUGCGGUCACGUGAGGAUGCAUGCAAACGCAUAGUGCGGACACGUGUGGCAUUGGGUUGAGUGUUUACUCUAUACAAACACAGUUGGGUAUAAGCGAUCGCAUAGAAGGAUUAGAUCCGGCUCUAUGCGAACUCGUGUGAGGGACCGCGAUCGCAGAGAAGGAUUUUAUUAAGUCUCUAGUCAGUAUUUUAAAGCUCAAUCUGCGACCUUUCUUCAUUUUUCCACCAUUUUUGAACGGGAUUGGAGCUUUUGAAGACAAUUUUUGAGGAAACCAAAGAGGAAUCACUUGGAGGUAACAUUUUUGACUUCAUAACUCUUUUUAUGCGAUUAAAUACCCAAUUAAUGGUGAGAAAUUUGGAAAAAGGAGUAAUUAGGGAUUGAGUUUAAGAGGUCUUUAAGUGAGGAUUUGAGGGGUCACUUGGACUCCAUUUUUUUGUGUUCUUUUUAUGUAUAGAAUCAUGAGAGUAUGAGAUUUCCGAAAAUAUAAGUUUCACCUGAUUCCGAGACGAUGGCCUAAGGGACAUUUUGGUCAUUUUACCUAAUUUCGUGUCUUAGCUUUGAAUUUAAUCGUAGAAUUAGUUGUUUGAGAUGUUAUUUAUGAUAUGUAAUUGAAUUGAAUAGAUUUGGGCCAAUUAGAGUCGGAUACUCAUGGAAAAGGCGUGAUUUCUAGUUGACUUUGAGCCGAUUCGAGGUAAGUAACUUGUCUAACCUUGUGUGGGGGAUUUUCCCCUUAGGAUAUGAUAUUUGCUAAUUGAAUGCCUUGUACGUGAAGUGACGAGCGCGUACUUGAGCUUAUUGUUGAAAAUCCAGUAUUGCUUAAGUAUCUAAGACUGAGUUCCUUUCUUACCUUCUUCAUUAUAUACUUGCAAAAUUUUAGCCCGUUAUUAGUUAGAAAAUCAUGUUUAGUUGAUUUAAAUUUGCCUAUUCGCUAAAUUGCUAUGGUUUCAUUACGUGAAGCAUGUUAGGCUAGAAUUACUUGUUUCCUUGGUAUGAAACUUCAUUUCUGAACAUCUCCUUGUUGUUGUUGUGUAUUUACAUUGUGAAUACGGAAGUGGGAUUCCGGUAGCUCCCCUUUGCCUCUUUACUUUAGGAGUGUGGGUUCAAUUCUCGAUAGACCCCCUUGCAUUACUUUGGGACUGCGGGUUAGAUCCCCAACAGACCCCCUGUAUCUUUACUUUGGGACUGCGGCUUGGAUUCCUGAUAGAUCCCCUGCACAUUUACUUUAGGAAUGCUGGUUCGAUUCCCGAUAAAUCCCUCUUGUGUGUUUACAUUUGGGACUACGGACCAGGGUUCUGGUAGAUCCCCGUGCAUUGAUAGUUGAACUAUGGGACGGUAUCCAGGGAUAUCCUUCGCAUAUAUACACGUGAUGGACUACGGGACGGUAUCCCGGGAGAUCCACUGGACAGUUGAUGAAAGGGGACUACAGGACUAUCCUGGUAGAUCCUCGUAUUACUAUUGGUACUGAGCUACUCUGCUUUCCAGUUUUUACUCUGUUAUUGGUAUAAUUGUUGUUGUCUGGUAUAACCUAUAUUAUUUCAUUGUCGCUCUGAUAUAUAUCGUUUAUUUCAUAUUGUUGAAGCUUAUUAUUAUGUUUAACCUCAGUUGGGCCCUGACCUUCCUCGUCACCACUCAACCGAGGUUAGGCUUGGCACUUUUUAAGUACCGCUAUAGUGUACUCAUACCCUUCCUGUGUAUGUUUUUCAUGUGCAUAUCCAG